UCCCCUUUACUGAUGCUUGAUGAAGUACUGCUGGAUACUGAGGGGAGCUGGUCAGCAGGCGUUUGGACAGAAUCAACUCUAAAAGAUGACUACAGAUUUAUAAAGUGUGUUUAAAAGUAGCAGCUUCCUCCUCUCUACAACCUCAUCAUGAGUGAGAGCAAACUUGUCAAGUAUCUGUAAAUGGAAGUGGAUAAAACCAUUAAUGUAAAUGGAUACCGCAGCCAGAUGAGCAGCUCCUGAGUCUCCAAUCUGAUUGUUAGACAGUGAGAGAAAGAGCAAGG